ACAAAAAUCGAUUUACAAAAUUAUCCAACAAAAUACAAACACUCAAUAAGCAGUAUCACUUGCAAUUGAUCCAUUUCAAAGAAAGUACUACCAGGAGUGGCUAAAGCAACAGAAAUGCAAAUGUUAACACUGCUUUUAAGUUUUUGUUUUUCGCUUUCAACUGCUUUUUAUUUCCACGUGGGGGAACGAGAGGAGAAAUGCAUAAUAGAAGACAUUCCAAGCGACACCUUGAUAACAGGGACUUUCAAGAUGCAGCAAUGGGACAUAGACAGAUAUGAUUUCCUUGAAUCUGCUCCUGGUUUGGGAAUGUUUGUGACGGUUACAACUUACAAUAAUGAGGUAUUAUUGUCAAAGUUAUAUGGCCCACAAGGAGCAUUCUAUUUUACUUCACAUUCACCUGGUGAACACAUCAUUUGCUUAGAAUCUAAUUCUACGAGGCUGGUGUCCUUUGGAGGGAGUAAGCUGCGGAUCCACUUAGAUAUUCGAGUCGGAGAACAUGACCUUGAUGCAGCCAUUGCUCAAGCAAAGGACAAAGUUAAUGAAGUUAGCUUCAAGCUUGAACAUCUAAUUGAGCAAAUUGAGCAAAUAGUCAAAGAACAAAACUAUCAAAGGGACCGUGAAGAAAAUUUUCGAAUGACCAGCGAAGAUACAAAUAGCAAUGUUUUAUGGUGGGCUUUUGCACAAACAUUAAUCUUUAUCUCAGUUGGAAUUUUCCAAAUGAAGUCCCUUAAAGACUUCUUUAUAGCUAAGAAGCUUGUUUAAAAUGUCAAUAAAGACAAACAACCACCUGCUAA